GGUCAAGUUACAAAGGG
rnacentral:rRNA from 2 species